rnacentral:rRNA from 1 species
GAUCAUGGCUCAGGAUGAACGCUAGCGGCAGGCCUAAUACAUGCAAGUCGUACGGGAUCUCCCCUUCGGGGGAGUGAGAGUGGCGCACGGGUGCGUAACGCGUAUGCAACCAACCCUCAUCCGGGGGACAGCCGGUGGAAACGCCGGGUAAUACCCCAUAUCCACUUUGGGAGGCAUCUUCUGAGGUGGAAAGACUUAGGUCGGAGGAGGACGGGCAUGCGUCCCAUUAGCUAGUCGGCGGGGUGACGGCCCACCGAGGCGACGAUGGGUAGGGGAUCUGAGAGGACGGUCCCCCACACUGGUACUGAGACACGGACCAGACUCCUACGGGAGGCAGCAGUAAGGAAUAUUGGGCAAUGGGGGGAACCCUGACCCAGCCAAUGCCGCGUGAGGGAAGUAGGCCCUACGGGUCGUGAACCUCUUUUGUCCAGGGACAAGGACGGCGUCGGGAACGUCGUUUGAGGGUACUGGAAGAAUAAGCAUCGGCUAACUCCGUGCCAGCCGCUGC